UUGUCCGGAAUUACUGGGCGUAAAGGCGCGUGUAGGCGGCCCCUUAAGUCCGGUGUGAAAGCCCACGGCUCAACCGUGGAAGGUCACUGGAAACUGGGGGACUUGAGUGCGGGAGAGGGGAGCGGAAUUCCCGGUGUAGCGGUGAAAUGCGUAGAGAUCGGGAGGAACACCAGUGGCGAAGGCGGCUCUCUGGCCCGCAACUGACGCUGAGGCGCGAAAGCGUGGGGAGCGAACAGGAUUAGAUACCCUGGUAGUCCACGCCGUAAACGAUGAGUGCUAAGUGUUAGAGGGGAUUGACCCUUUAGUGCUGUCACGUAACGCAUUAAGCACUCCGCCUGGGGAGUAC
rnacentral:rRNA from 1 species